rnacentral:rRNA from 1 species
GAUGAACGCUAGCUACAGGCUUAACACAUGCAAGUCGAGGGGUAACAAGAGGAAAGCUUGCUUUUCUUGUGGACGACCGGCGCACGGGUGAGUAACGCGUAUCCAACCUGCCUAUAACUAGGGAAUAACCUUGCGAAAGUAAGACUAAUACCCUAUGAUUUCCUUUGAUGACAUCAAAUUAGGAAUAAAGAUUUAUCGGUUAUAGAUGGGGAUGCGUCUGAUUAGCUUGUUGGCGGGGUAACGGCCCACCAAGGCAACGAUCAGUAGGGGUUCUGAGAGGAAGGUCCCCCACAUUGGAACUGAGACAUGGGCCAAACUCCUACGGGAGGCAGCAGUGAGGAAUAUUGGUCAAUGGGCGGAAGCCUGAACCAGCCAAGUAGCGUGCAGGAUGACGGCCCUAUGGGUUGUAAACCGCUUUUAUACAGGAAUAAAGUUAGCCACGUGUGGUUAUUUGUAGGUACUGUAUGAAUAAGGACCGGCUAAUUCCGUGCCAGCCGCCGCCGUAA